rnacentral:rRNA from 1 species
UACGUAGGGUGCAAGCGUUGUCCGGAAUUAUUGGGCGUAAAGAGCUCGUAGGCGGUUUGUUGCGUCGGCUGUGAAAUCCCGAGGCUCAACCUCGGGUCUGCAGUCGAUACGAGCAAACUAGAGUGUUGCAGGGGAGACUGGAAUUCCUGGUGUAGCGGUGAAAUGCGCAGAUAUCAGGAGGAACACCGGUGGCGAAGGCGGGUCUCUGGGCAACAACUGACGUGGAGGAGCGAAAAGCGUGGGGAGCGAACAGG